AGAGACUUAGGUUAAUACUAGACCAAGGGCCUUCAAAGCCCUAAGCGAGAGUUAAAUUCUCCCAGCCUCUG
rnacentral:tRNA from 1 species